GAAAUGCGAUAAGUAAUGUGAAUUGCAGAAUUCAGUGAAUCAUCGAAUCUUUGAACGCAUCUUGCGCUCCUUGGUAUUCCGAGGAGCAUGCCUGUUUGAGUGUCAUUUAAUUCUCAACCACUCCAGUUGCUUUUUACUGGGUUUUGGAUAUGGGGGGAUUGUUAAUCUGCGGGCCUCGCAAGAGGUUGGCUCCCCUGAAAUGCAUUAGCGGAACCGUUUGCGGGACUGUCAAUGGUGCGAUAACUGUCUACACCAAAGGCAUCUGCUCUAGUAGUUUUGCUACGAAUUGUCCUUUCUAUCGGACACAGAAUAUCCAAAUGUGCUAUACUUGACCUCAAAUCAGGUAGGACUACCCGCUGAACUUAA
rnacentral:misc_RNA from 1 species